ACGCUGGCGGCGUGCCUAACACAUGCAAGUCGAGCGGUAUAUACUGGAACGAAACUUCGGUCUAGAGAAGGUAUAGAGAGCGGCGGACGGGUGAGUAACGCGUAGGCAACCUGCCCCAUACAGAGGGAUAGCCUCGGGAAACCGGGAUUAAAACCUCAUAACACGAGAGUUUCACAUGUUACUCUCGUCAAAGAUUUAUCGGUAUGGGAUGGGCCUGCGUCUGAUUAGCUAGUUGGUGAGGUAACGGCUCACAAAGGCAACGAUCAGUAGCCGACCUGAGAGGGUAAUCGGCCACAUUGGAACUGAGACACGGUCCAAACUCCUACGGGAGGCAGCAGUGGGGAAUAUUGCACAAUGGGCGAAAGCCUGAUGCAGCAACGCCGCGUGAGCGAUGAAGGCCUUUGGGUCGUAAAGCUCUGUCCUUGGGGAAGAAAAAAAUGACGGUACCCUUGGAGGAAGCCCCGGCUAACUACGUGCCAGCAGCCGCGGUAAUACGUAGGGGGCAAGCGUUAUCCGGAAUUAUUGGGCGUAAAGAGUGCGUAGGUGGUCAUGUAAGCGCAGGGUGAAAGGNAAUAGCUCAACUAUUGUAAGCCUUGCGAACUGCAUGACUUGAGUGCAGGANAGGAANGUGGAAUUUCCUAGUGUAGCGGUGAAAAUGCGUAGAUAUUAGGAGGACCCCCAGUGGCNAAAGGCNACUUUUNUGNACUGGUAACUGNCACUGAGGCACGAAAGC
rnacentral:rRNA from 1 species